AUGAUGGAGGACUCUUCAACUAGGAGCCAUGUUUCUGAGGGGAAUCGGCUGGGCUAUGUAAGAAGUGAAUCCAUGGAUUCCGCUGGCCAUCCUUCGGCUGCUAGGUCAGGCUCACUGCUAAGCAGGAGAAGUAGCAGGCCCAGUUCAAGGGGAUCCAUCAGCCUCUCUCGUGAGAUGGGCGACUCGAUCCUGAACUCAAUGAGGCAUUCCCUUCAGUCAGCAGACCAGUUGCUAGGUGAUGCUGAUAGCUCGGCUUUGGCUCAGGUCAUUGACAGUGGUGACCGAGUGCUAGCCUUGGAAGAUGAGGCCGAUGAAGAUAUGGCAAAUACAUUGGAUCAACAUAAGUUCGGUCCUGUCCGAGAUAAUCGAAUCCAUGGCUACAGCUCACAUGUCACAGGUCUGCCAGCACCUGAGUCUUCUCUGGAGCCAAAGGGCGAGAGCUCAUCAGGCAAGGUUGAACAAUAUGUGCUUUCUCGGAGGCUAGAUUAUGCUUCUUACCUGAUCCAUUUAGCUGCCUUUGGAUUAUUUGGGGUAUUUACAAGGUAUGGGCUCCAAAAGCUGUUCGGCCCAGGCUGCCUGGCACUCACCUCCAACCAAAGCCCGUUGUACCUUGAUCUUCCAUCAAACAUGCUAGGAUCCUUCCUGAUGGCCUGGUUUGGGAUCAUCUUUAAGACAGACAUUCGGCACAUAUCUGAACAUCUCAUUGUUGGAAUCACAACCGGAUACAUGGGAAGCCUUACCACCUUCAGUGGGUGGAAUCAAGCGAUGGUUAGCAUGUCUUCCAAAGACCAUUGGGCAUAUGCCAUAGCUGGCAUAGUAUUAGGAAUGUUCAUCGUCAAUGAGUCCAUCAGGGUGGGCGCCGAAACAGGUGAGCGCCUACGAAGCUGGAUCCUGAAAUGCAUCAAGGAAAAUAGUUCAAUAGGAAGCACAUGUAACUGGGAGCACCUGAAAGUCAACACUAGGACUAAACAUUUUGUGCUUAUAGCAGUUAUGAUGAUUUUGCUUUCUUUUGUGUGGGUUCUGAGCAUCGUGUUGGCCAUAAUAAAGGUGCGCAAUCUUGAUGAUGGCGCUGUACUAUGGUUGGGGUGCUCGGUUGCGCCUCCGGGCGUUUGGUUACGCUGGUACUUGGCAAGGCUCAAUGGCCAGGGAAUCGGCAAACAGAGAUCCCUCAAAUGGCUGCCCAUUGGGACACUUGUAGCCAAUGUUCUUGCUGCAGGUAUCAUGGCAUCACUGGCUGUGACCGCCAAAGCGGUGAAUACAAAGCAUUCGACAACUGUUCUUAAUGGCAUACAGUUUGGUUUCCUCGGCUGCUUGAGCACAGUGUCUACUUUUGCUGCUGAAAUCUACGCUAUGCGAAGCAGCGGACAGGUUGGUAGAGCCUUUGUCUAUGCUGCAGCGACCUUCGUGCUCUCUUUCGUGCUGGGAACUCUGGUAUACUCUGUGCCAGUAUGGGUCAAGCAUUACCAAUAG
rnacentral:rRNA from 1 species